rnacentral:misc_RNA from 1 species
AACUGAUACUACCUGCGGGAACCUGCGGAGGGAUCAUCAUUGAAAAAAAAUCUUCAAGCCCAGAAGGCUUGCAAACAACACAGAUACCCAAAAAAAGGAGCGUUUUUUCUGGAGGAGAGGGGAGAAGGUUUCUCUUCGAUCCAAAAGGAGAACGGAAUUUGCAAAAAAAAAAAGUAUUGGUGGUUGCCUGAUACAAAAGUGUUUGGAAAGAGGAAUCAUAAACAAAACAACUUUCAGCAA